UACGAAGGGGGCUAGCGUUGCUCGGAAUUACUGGGGCGUAAAGGGAGCGUAGGCGGACAGUUAAGUCAGAGGUGAAAGCCCAGGGCCUCAACCCUGGAAUUGCCUUUGAUACUGAUUGUCUUGAGUAUGGGAGAGGUAUGCGGAACUCCGAGUGUAGAGGUGAAAUUCGUAGAUAUUCGGAAGGAACACCAGUGGCCGAAGGCGGCAAUACUGGCCCAUUACUAGA
rnacentral:rRNA from 1 species